UCAGAUGACUUUCUCUCUACGGGACCACGGCUUCCUUAUCCCCAUCCGCCCGAACAGCUAAUUCGCUCCUCUAUCGUCCACUCCGUCCUUAUCCCCAUCCCGACGACCUGCUCGAACGGCGAAAAGAAGAUGAACUAGGCCCCCAUCGAGAGGACCCCGAUGCUGGCGGAGGAGGAACGGGAGGCGCUGGUGGGAAGCACUCUCGGCGUCUCCCGCCGAUGGGGAGCACGGUGCCAUCAUGUCCGGCUCAUGGCGGUCGCGCUCACCGUGGUGGUAGCGGCGGCGUUCCUGAAGUGCAGGCUGUAGUGGAGAUAAGCGAUGUGGAGCUGAUCCCCGUAGACGUCGGCGCCGCGAGCUGGAUAGCGUGGCGUUCGGCACGGAUGGGAACGGGCCGUACGCCAACGUGUUGGACGGGAGGGCCAUCAGGUGGCUCCGGGAGGAGCGCCGCUGGGUCGACCACUCCUCCGCGGCCGCGCCACAGCUGUUUGUGGAGACGUCCGCAAUAGUAAUUUUCUCCAAAUUCUUGAUGUAACUUUUUUGCACCCAUAUGUAUUUUUUACUAUUUUCUUACAUCUAGAGCGAUAGAAGUUUAAUGUGUACCCAAAAUUCCUGAUGUAACAUUUUUCCAACUAUAUGUAUUUUUUACUUUUUUCUUA